AGUGCUCUGUUGGUCAACCAGAAUAAGCCUAGAACAGCAUGAUGUUUCGUGACUUUGUGGAAUUUACUGGGGCUGACACAGUGGAAUAUGUUUCUGAAGGGGGUUCUUCAUUCUGAGUGAAAGUCUUCAAGAAUUUUUGUCUGCAGGGAGCAUAACCAUCAUCAAUGUGCAGGAGGUGAGGAUUUCACUAUGUGCCUGGAAUCCAAAGGAGGUUAUCUAUAAUCUUCCAAAGACAUGUAAUGUCUAAAUGCAACCCCAGCAACCUCAAAGGCUUUGUCUCAUCAAGUGGGAAGAAAGGGGUCAUGGCUCCUUUAGUGGUUCCCAUUGUCCUUCAGGUCUGAAGAGCAAUGGGGGCAUUGCCUGAAAUUUGAGACCAGUCUGAAGGGGCUCAAAUCACAAACACAAAAGGCGUGCACACAUGGCUGAAGUAAGUUCAUAAGCUUGAAUGAAUGGUUGUGGACAUUUUUCACAGUAUUAUCCAGCUAUACCCUGAACAGAGUCUGAUAACAUGCGAA